GGGGUUCAGGCCUCUCUGUGGUGAGCGCUUGCCCCCGCUGGAAGCAGAGACAAGACCCUGGCUGGGUCUUCUGUUUUGUUUUGUUUUGUUUUGUUUUCUGAGACAGAGUUUUGCUCUUGUUGCCCAGGCUGGAGUGCGAUAGCGCAAUGUUGGCUCACUGCAGCCUCUGCCUCCUGGGUGGAAGUGAUUCUCCUGCCUCAGCGUCUCGAGUAGCUGGAAUUACAGCCACACACCACCACGCCUGGCUAAUUUUGUAUUUUCAGUAGAGAUGGGGUUUCUCUAUGUUGGACAGGUUCCUCUCGAACUCCUGACCUCAGGUGAUCCGCCCGCCUCGGCCUCCCAAAGUGCUGGGAUUACAGGCGUGAGCCACUGCUCCCGGCCAUGUGCCGUCUGAUUAGGAACCCAAGAGCCCCUUCCUGGGAACAGAAGGACAACUGGCACCUGCUGAGGCACGCCCACUUGCCGAGCUGCCCUGGGAUCCCUGGGCAGAGCGUCAUCGCUUAAGAACCUAAUUCCACAACAAAUAUUUGUCACGCUCCUGCCAGGGCCCUGGCAGGAGCAGAGGCGGUGUGUACUGCCAUGCAUUCCUGGUCUGUUGGGUGAUUGACACAUACAAGACGCCAGCGGUCCUGAGAGUCAGGUGCCUUCCUGGACCCCUUGGUGAGCGGAGCUGACUUAGCUGGGACGUCAACAACUCCCUAUGUCAGAGGCAAGUCUCCGCCUGCAUCUGCCAGAGCUCCACACAGCUGCAGACACCUGUGGCUUCAUCUGAGUCCUCAUCUCGGCCUCUGGGAACCACUCCUUCCUACCCUUUGCCUGGAGACAGUGGAAGCCGAGGGACAUUUCUCCGAAUGGCGUUCACUUGGCUCCAGAAAUGAGAACUGGAAUGAGGAAGAGGAAUCAGUCUCCCUCCAGGUGGCUGAAGCUAGGCACGUGGAACCUGGGAGCAGCGGGCAGCCACACUGGUGCCCUUCAGACAGCAGGAGGGGGCUCUUGUCCGAAGCUCUGAGUUCAAAACAGAGGGGACAUGGGGGAACAGCAGGAGGUAGGAUCAGGCCCCCCAACUCCUGCCGAGAGCUCACACCUGUCUUCAGCCCCUCCUGCAUUCCUGCCAGUGGUAGCCAUUUGCCCUUUUGGUUGCCUGGUGUCCAAAUACCCUUUCUACGUUGGAGGUAGGGUCCUGGGGGUCCCUGCUCCCUUUCCCAGGCUCUGAAAACUGACUCCUGGGAAUGUGACCAAAAUGAUUACAUUAAAUGCUUCCACCUGAAUGUUUAAUCGUGAAGAUGAGAUGCCAAGUUCAAGAGUAAUUUAGGGGCCAGGUGUGGUGGCUUGCGCCUGUAACCCCAGCAUUUUGGGAGGCCGAGGCAGGUGGAUCACUGGAGACCAGGAGUUUGAGACAAGCCUGGCCAAUAUGGUGAAACCCUGUGUCUACUAAAAAUGCAAAAAUUAGUCAGGUGUGGUGGUGCACACCUAUAAUCCCAGCUACUCGGGAGGCUGAGACAGGAGAAUCGCUUGAACCUGGGAGGUGGAGGUUGCAGUGAGCCAAGAUCAGGUCACUGCACUCCAG
rnacentral:lncRNA from 10 species